rnacentral:rRNA from 1 species
CGAUGAACCACUUCGGUGGGGAUUAGUGGCGAACGGGUGAGUAACACGUGGGCAAUCUGCCCUGCACUCUGGGACAAGCCCUGGAAACGGGGUCUAAUACCGGAUACUGAUCAUCUUGGGCAUCCUUGGUGAUCGAAAGCUCCGGCGGUGCAGGAUGAGCCCGCGGCCUAUCAGCUUGUUGGUGAGGUAACGGCUCACCAAGGCGACGACGGGUAGCCGGCCUGAGAGGGCGACCGGCCACACUGGGACUGAGACACGGCCCAGACUCCUACGGGAGGCAGCAGUGGGGAAUAUUGCACAAUGGGCGCAAGCCUGAUGCAGCGACGCCGCGUGAGGGAUGACGGCCUUCGGGUUGUAAACCUCUUUCAGCAGGGAAGAAGCGCAAGUGACGGUACCUGCAGAAGAAGCGCCGGCUAACUACGUGCCAGCAGCCGCGGUAAUACGUAGGGCGCGAGCGUUGUCCGGAAUUAUUGGGCGUAAAGAGCUCGUAGGCGGCUUGUCGCGUCGGUUGUGAAAGCCCGGGGCUUAACCCCGGGUCUGCAGUCGAUACGGGCAGGCUAGAGUUCGGUAGGGGAGAUCGGAAUUCCUGGUGUAGCGGUGAAAUGCGCAGAUAUCAGGAGGAACACCGGUGGCGAAGGCGGAUCUCUGGGCCGAUACUGACGCUGAGGAGCGAAAGCGUGGGGAGCGAACAGGAUUAGAUACCCUGGUAGUCCACGCCGUAAACGGUGGGCACUAGGUGUGGGCGACAUUCCACGUCGUCCGUGCCGCAGCUAACGCAUUAAGUGCCCCGCC